GAUGAACGCUGGCGGCGUGCCUAAUACAUGCAAGUCGAGCGAACAGACGAGGAGCUUGCUCCUCUGACGUUAGCGGCGGACGGGUGAGUAACACGUGGAUAACCUACCUAUAAGACUGGGAUAACUUCGGGAAACCGGAGCUAAUACCGGAUAAUAUAUUGAACCGCAUGGUUCAAUAGUGAAAGACGGUUUUGCUGUCACUAUAAGAGGGAUCCGCGCCGCAUUAGCUAGUUGGUAAGGUAACGGCUUACCAAGGCAACGAUGCGUAGCCGACCUGAGAGGGUGAUCGGCCACACUGGAACUGAGACACGGUCCAGACUCCUACGGGAGGCAGCAGUAGGGAAUCUUCCGCAAUGGGCGAAAGCCUGACGGAGCAACGCCGCGUGAGUGAUGAAGGUCUUCGGAUCGUAAAACUCUGUUAUUAGGGAAGGACAAAUGUGUAAGUAACUAUGCACGUCUUGACGGUACCUAAUCAGAAAGCCACGGCUAACUACGUG
rnacentral:rRNA from 1 species